AACGAACGCUGGCGGCAUGCCUAACACAUGCAAGUCGAACGAGAUCCUUCGGGGUCUAGUGGCGCACGGGUGCGUAACGCGUGGGAAUCUGCCCUUAGGUUCGGAAUAACAGUUAGAAAUGACUGCUAAUACCGGAUGAUGACGUUAAGUCCAAAGAUUUAUCGCCUGAGGAUGAGCCCGCGUAGGAUUAGCUAGUUGGUGUGGUAAAGGCGCACCAAGGCGACGAUCCUUAGCUGGUCUGAGAGGAUGAUCAGCCACACUGGGACUGAGACACGGCCCAGACUCCUACGGGAAGCAGCAGUGGGGAAUAUUGGACAAUGGGCGCAAGCCUGAUCCAGCAAUGCCGCGUGAGUGAUGAAGGCCUUAGGGUUGUAAAGCCCUUUUACCCGAGAUGAUAAUGACAGUAUCGGGAGAAUAAGCCCCGGCUAACUCCGUG
rnacentral:rRNA from 1 species